AGAGUUUGAUCAUGGCUCAGGAUGAACGCUGGCGGCGUGCCUAAUACAUGCAAGUCGAGCGAACGGAUAAGGAGCUUGCUCCUUUGAAGUUAGCGGCGGACGGGUGAGUAACACGUGGGUAACCUACCUAUAAGACUGGAAUAACUUCGGGAAACCGGAGCUAAUGCCGGAUAACAUUUGGAACCGCAUGGUUCUAAAGUAAAAGAUGGUUUUGCUAUCACUUAUAGAUGGACCCGCGCCGUAUUAGCUAGUUGGUAAGGUAGCGGCUUACCAAGGCAACGAUACGUAGCCGACCUGAGAGGGUGAUCGGCCACACUGGAACUGAGACACGGUCCAGACUCCUACGGGAGGCAGCAGUAGGGAAUCUUCCGCAAUGGACGAAAGUCUGACGGAGCAACGCCGCGUGAGUGAUGAAGGUUUUCGGAUCGUAAAACUCUGUUAUUAGGGAAGAACAAAUGUGUAAGUAACUGUGCACAUCUUGACGGUACCUAAUCAGAAAGCCACGGCUAACUACGUGCCAGCAGCCGCGGUAAUACGUAGGUGGCAAGCGUUAUCCGGAAUUAUUGGUCGUAAAGCGCGCGUAGGCGGUUUCUUAAGUCUGAUGUGAAAGCCCACGGCUCAACCGUGGAGGGUCAUUGGAAACUGGGAAACUUGAGUACAGAAGAGGAAAGUGGAAUUCCAUGUGUAGCGGUGAAAUGCGCAGAGAUAUGGAGGAACACCAGUGGCGAAGGCGACUUUCUGGUCUGUAACUGACGCUGAUGUGCGAAAGCGUGGGGAUCAAACAGGAUUAGAUACCCUGGUAGUCC
rnacentral:rRNA from 1 species